CAGAAGGGACUGCCUUCCCCUCAGUGCUCGCCCCUCCCUAGUGAUCACUCAGUGCCCCUGAGCUCAUUCUUUUCAGUAAAUUCUCUCUCUGCGUGGUGAGAAAACAGGCCUGGAGAGGCUCUGCGACCCGCUUAGGACCACAGAACUCGAGAAUUACCUUUUCCAGGGACGGCAGGAAUGCUACGCGUUUAAUGGGACACAGCGCUUCCUGGAGAGAUACAUCUACAACCGGGAGGAGUUCGUGCGCUUCGACAGCGACGUGGGGGAGUUCCGGGCGGUGACGGAGCUGGGGCGGCCUGAUGAGGAGUACUGGAACAGCCAGAAGGACAUCCUGGAGGAGGAGCGGGCAGUGCCGGACAGGAUGUGCAGACACAACUACGAGCUGGGCGGGCCCAUGACCCUGCAGCGCCGAGUCCAGCCU
rnacentral:misc_RNA from 1 species